rnacentral:rRNA from 1 species
UACGUAGGGUGCAAGCGUUAAUCGGAAUUACUGGGCGUAAAGCGUGCGCAGGCGGCUUUGCAAGACAGAUGUGAAAUCCCCGGGCUCAACCUGGGGACUGCAUUUGUGACUGCAUGGCUAGAGUACGGUAGAGGGGGAUGGAAUUCCGCGUGUAGCAGUGAAAUGCGUAGAUAUGCGGAGGAACACCGAUGGCGAAGGCAAUCCCCUGGACCUGUACUGACGCUCAUGCACGAAAGCGUGGGGAGCAAACAGG